UGUGGUCAGUGCGUGACAUAGCCACCGGUGGGGCGAUUUGCCUAUUAGCCUUUUACUAUAUAGGACACCCAGAUCACAAAAAUAGUAGUUACACUUAUGCGUAAUACACAGCUGUUCCACCUGCAACAAAUGAAAACCCAUCAGCUCUUUCCCCAAAGACUCGAUGUCCCCCCUUAGGUACCUUUGGCUGAUAUCUCCCCACUGAGCCAUGCUCCCCCUUUUGUAGCCUCUGACCUUCACACCUGAGACCGGUCACCUGCCUCAACACUCAUGUCAGAGGGCAGGUGGGCUGGAGCUACGCAGUGUUCCUAUCAAAACGCUAAGAACAGCCCUCGUCUGGGCCCCUGUGCUCCGCUCCCCAGCCACAGCCCGUGGGGCCAGCCAACGGCACGGCGUCAUGCGUUCCUGAGACGCUCCUGCCUCCCAGCUCAGUGCAGACGUCCCAGCGGCUCAGCGCCCAGAACCGAGACUGGGCCCUGGAGAGCGCCAGGCAGACUGAGUGAGGGACUGCCUGUCGUGGUGCUGGGGUUGAGGGUGAUUUUUUUCCUUCUCUGAUUUCUAAACUGUUUGCAAACUUGUUUACUUUAUCAUUGAAAAUAUAACUUGUAAUGUGAAAUAACACUGCACUCUAUACACAAAGGCAAAAAUGACCGGCCAGAUCCCUUCAGUCCCAGACCGUGACUGACAGUUCGUCUGAACUCGGCGGACCAACUAGUUCGUUCAUCAGCACGUGCUCUCAGGGAGCGCUGCCCAGGUCCAGAGCGCGUUCAGGAGACGCUGAAAUGGGAGCUGAAGUCCAGGAAAGACAUCAGUGUCUCUCUGCCAAGAUAAAAACCGUUUAUUUUUUGAA